rnacentral:rRNA from 1 species
AACGAACGCUGGCGGCAUGCCUAACACAUGCAAGUCGAACGAGACCUUCGGGUCUAGUGGCGCACGGGUGCGUAACGCGUGGGAAUCUGCCCUCUGGUACGGAAUAACUCAGGGAAACUUGAGCUAAUACCGUAUAAUGACUUCGGUCCAAAGAUUUAUCGCCUGAGGAUGAGCCCGCGUCGGAUUAGCUAGUUGGUGAGGUAAAGGCUCACCAAGGCGACGAUCCGUAGCUGGUCUGAGGGGAUGAUCAGCCACACUGGGACUGAGACACGGCCCAGACUCCUACGGGAGGCAGCAGUGGGGAAUAUUGGACAAUGGGCGAAAGCCUGAUCCGGCAAUGCCGCGUGAGUGAUGAAGGCCUUAGGGUUGUAAAGCUCUUUUACCCGGGAUGAUAAUGACAGUACCGGGAGAAUAAGCCCCGGCUAACUCCGUGCCAGCCGCCGCGGUAAUAC